rnacentral:ncRNA from 1 species
GAAAGCCGUGUGCAUUGAAAAGUGCCCGCACGGUUUGGGGGGAGGCGUAGGGAUAUCCUCUUCGAGGUGUCCCGCGCCUACCCUAC